rnacentral:rRNA from 1 species
GGCUCAGAUUGAACGCUGGCGGCAGGCCUAACACAUGCAAGUCGAGCGGCAGCGGGACCUUCGGGUUGCCGUAGAGCGGCGGACGGGUGAGUAACGCGUGGGAAUCUACCCAGUAGCGGGGGAUAACUUGUGGAAACGCAAGCUAAUACCGCAUACGCCCUUAGGGAAAGAGGGCCUCUCCUUGGAAGCUCUCGCUGUUGGAUGAGCCUGCGUCGGAUUAGCUAGUUGGUGGGGUAAAGGCCUACCAAGGCGACGAUCCGUAGCUGGUCUGAGAGGAUGAUCAGCCACACUGGAACUGAGACACGGUCCAGACUCCUACGGGAGGCAGCAGUGGGGAAUAUUGGACAAUGGGCGCAAGCCUGAUCCAGCCAUGCCGCGUGUGUGAAGAAGGCUCUAGGGUUGUAAAGCACUUUAAGUUGGGAGGAAAGGUUGAAGGUUAAUACCCUUUAGCUGUGACGUUACCAACAGAAUAAGCACCGGCUAACUCCGUGCCAGCAGCCGCGGUAAUACGGAGGGUGCGAGCGUUAAUCGGAUUUACUGGGCGUAAAGCGCACGUAGGUGGUUUUGUAAGUUGGAUGUGAAAGCCCCGGGCUCAACCUGGGAACUGCAUUCAAAACUGUCUCACUAGAGUACGAUAGAGGGGGGUAGAAUUUCAGGUGUAGCGGUGAAAUGCGUAGAUAUAGGAAGGAACACCAGUGGCGAAGGCGACUUACUGGACCAAUACUGACACUGAGGAGCGAAAGCGUGGGGAGCAAACAGGAUUAGAUACCCUGGUAGUCCACGCCGUAAACGAUGUCUACUAGCCGUUGGGAUCCUUGAGGUCUUAGUGGCGCAGCUAACGCAAUAAGUAGACCGCCUGGGGAGUACGGUCGCAAGAUUAAAACUCAAAUGAAUUGACGGGGGCCCGCACAAGCGGUGGAGCAUGUGGUUUAAUUCGAUGCAACGCGAAGAACCUUACCUGGUCUUGACAUCCUGCGAACUUGGUAGAGAUACCUUGGUGCCUUCGGGAACUGUGAGACAGGUGCUGCAUGGCUGUCGUCAGCUCGUGUUGUGAAAUGUUGGGUUAAGUCCCGUAACGAGCGCAACCCUUGUCCUUAUUUGCCAGCACGUAAAGGUGGGGCCAAUAAGGAGACUGCCGGUGACAAACCGGAGGAAGGUGGGGACGACGUCAAGUCAUCAUGGCCCUUACGAGCGGGGCUACACACGUGCUACAAUGGCCAGGACAAACGGUUGCAACCCCGCGAGGGUGAGCUAAUCCGAGAAACCUGGUCGUAGUCCGGAUCGCAGUCUGCAACUCGACUGCGUGAAGUCGGAAUCGCUAGUAAUCGUGAAUCAGAACGUCACGGUGAAUACGUUCCCGGGCCUUGUACACACCGCCCGUCACACCAUGGGUGUGGAUUGCACCAGAAGUAGCUAGCUUAACCUUCGGGAGGGCGGUUACCACGGUGUGGUUCAUGACUGGGGUGAAGUCGUAA